GAUUAAGUUAUUAAGGGCGCACGGUGGAUGCCUUGGCACUAGAAGCCGACGAAGGACGUUACUAACAACGAUAUGCUUUGGGGAGCUGUAAGUAAGCUGUGAUCCAGAGAUUUCCGAAUGGGGGAACCCAGCACGAGUUAUGUCGUGUUAUCCGCAUGUGAAUACAUAGCAUGUGAGAAGGUAGACCCGGAGAACUGAAACAUCUUAGUACCCGGAGGAAGAGAAAGAAAAAUCGAUUCCCUGAGUAGCGGCGAGCGAAACGGGAAGAGCCCAAACCAACAAGCUUGCUUGUUGGGGUUGUAGGACACUCUGUACGGAGUUACAAAGGAAUAUGUUAGACGAAUAACCUGGAAAGGUUAAUCAGAGAAGGUAAAAAUCCUGUAGUCGAAAACAUCUUCCCUCCUGAGUGGAUCCUGAGUACGGCGGAGCACGUGAAAUUCCG
rnacentral:rRNA from 1 species